rnacentral:rRNA from 1 species
UACGUAGGGGGCAAGCGUUGUCCGGAUUUAUUGGGCGAAAGAGCGUGUAGGCGGUUUGGUAGGUCCGCUGUGAAAACUCGAGGCUCAACCUCGAGACGCCGGUGGAAACCAUCAGGCUAGAGUCCGGAAGAGGAGAGUGGAAUUCCUGGUGUAGCGGUGAAUGCGCAGAUAUCAGGAAGAACACCGGUGGCGAAGGCGGAUCUCUGGGCCAUUACUGACGCUGAGGAGCGAAAGCGUGGGGAGCGAACAGG